AGAGUUUGAUCAUGGCUCAGAUUGAACGCUGGCGGAAUGCUUUACACAUGCAAGUCGAGCGGCAGCGCGGGGCAACCUGGCGGCGAGCGGCGAACGGGUGAGUAAUACAUCGGAACGUGCCCAGACGUGGGGGAUAACUACUCGAAAGAGUGGCUAAUACCGCAUACGAUCUAAGGAUGAAAGCGGGGGAUCGCAAGACCUCGCGCGUUUGGAGCGGCCGAUGGCAGAUUAGGUAGUUGGUGGGGUAAAGGCUUACCAAGCCCGCGAUCUGUAGCUGGUCUGAGAGGAUGAUCAGCCACACUGGGACUGAGACACGGCCCAGACUCCUACGGGAGGCAGCAGUGGGGAAUUUUGGACAAUGGGCGAAAGCCUGAUCCAGCCAUUCCGCGUGCAGGAUGAAGGCCCUCGGGUUGUAAACUGCUUUUGUACAGAACGAAAAAGCUCUUUCUAAUACAGAAAGUCCAUGACGGUACUGUAAGAAUAAGCACCGGCUAACUACGUG
rnacentral:rRNA from 1 species